rnacentral:rRNA from 1 species
AUGGCCGGACACGGUGGCUGGAGGUCCCCGCCACUAAUCUGCAACACGGAUCCGCGUCCCCAUGCUCACGGGGCGUCAUCCGCCGGCGCAUCCUUGAGCCACGGCUGCUCGCGCGAUCCACCCGCUUUCGCCCGAUUCGCUGAUUUUUCGGAGCUCCCUCUGUCGCGGCCACCGCAGAGGACCUACCUCAACAUCCAUCAGCGCUUGUGGGGGACAUGCGUGGUGGAGAUCACUGACCGGGAGACCCACCAACGAAAGUGGAUCGGGUCAUUCCACACGGCGGAGCUCGCAGCCAUGGAAUACGACCGGUGGCAAGUCCGGUACCAUGGCUCCGCCGCCCGGCUGAACUUCCCGUUCGAGACAGCGCCGGUCCACCUCGUCCCACCGGAGCCAGGUGUGGUGAGCGUGGCGAUGGCGCGGGAAGACCAAGAGGCGAGGGAGCGCCUCGAGGCGGAGGCCGCCGCUGCGGCAUCCAUGGAAGACCUCCGCCGCCAGCACCAGGAGCUCAUGGAGGCGGAGCGGGCGUAUUCACCGAGAACGGUGGGGAGGUCAUUGUCAUCUCUGACGACGAGGUGGAAGGCAGCGAGGAGGGCGGCAAGAAAGGAAGCGAUGAGGAGGAGUUCGACGUCGCGGAGUGGCGGAGCAUCUUCCCCGACUGCGACGACGACGACACCGGCCCCGACCCAGCUCUCACCAAGGGUGGCCUAA